GGGGAAUUUUGGACAAUGGGCGAAAGCCUGAUCCAGCCAUGCCGCGUGAGUGAAGAAGGCCUUCGGGUUGUAAAGCUCUUUCGGCUGAAAAGAAAUCGCACAGGCUAAUACCUUGUGUGGAUGACGGUAUCAGCAUAAGAAGCACCGGCUAACUACGUGCCAGCAGCCGCGGUAAUACGUAGGGUGCGAGCGUUAAUCGGAAUUACUGGGCGUAAAGCGUGCGCAGGCGGUUUUGUAAGAUAGGCGUGAAAUCCCCGGGCUCAACCUGGGAACUGCGCUUAUGACUGCAAGGCUAGAGUGUGGCAGAGGGGGGUAGAAUUCCACGUGUAGCAGUGAAAUGCGUAGAGAUGUGGAGGAAUACCGAUGGCGAAGGCAGCCCCCUGGGCUAACACUGACGCUCAUGCACGAAAGCGUGGGGAGCAAAC
rnacentral:rRNA from 1 species